rnacentral:rRNA from 1 species
ACGGGAGGCUGCAGUGGGGAAUAUUGGGCAAUGGGGGAAACCCUGACCCAGCAACGCCGCGUGAAGGAAGAAGGCCCUCGGGUUGUAAACUUCUUUUACCAGGGACGAAAAAUGACGGUACCUGGAGAAAAAGCAACGGCUAACUACGUGCCAGCAGCCGCGGUAAUACGUAGGUUGCAAGCGUUGUCCGGAUUUACUGGGUGUAAAGGGCGUGUAGGCGGAGCUGCAAGUCAGAUGUGAAAUCUAGGGGCUUAACCCCUAGACUGCUUUUGAAACUGUAUCCCUUGAGUAUCGGAGAGGCAGGCGGAAUUCCUAGUGUAGCGGUGAAAUGCGUAGAUAUUAGGAGGAACACCAGUGGCGAAGGCGGCUUGCUGGACGACAACUGACGCUGAGGCGCGAAAGCGUGGGGAGCAAACAGGAUUAGAUACCCUGGUA